rnacentral:rRNA from 1 species
AUUUGCACCUAGUGGCGCACGGGUGAGUAAUACGUGGGUAACCUACCUAUUAGUCGGGGACAACAGUUGGAAACGACUGCUAAUACCGGAUAAAAUGUGAAAUGGUAUCUUUUCAUAUUAAAAGGAGCUUUCAAGCUUCGCUUUUAGAUGGGCCUGCGGCGUAUUAGUUAGUUGGUGAGGUAACGGCCCACCAAGGCGACGAUGGGUAGCCGACCUGAGAGGGUGAUCGGCCACACUGGAACUGAGACACGGUCCGGACUCCUACGGGAGGCAGCAGUGGGGAAUAUUGGGCAAUGGGCGCAAGCCUGACCCAGCAACGCCGCGUGAGGGAAGAAGGCCUUCGGGUUGUAAACCUCUGUCCUUAGGGACGAAAAAAAUGACGGUACCUAAGGAGGAAGCUCCGGCUAACUACGUGCCAGCAGCCGCGGUAAUACGUAGGGAGCAAGCGUUGUCCGGAAUUACUGGGCGUAAAGGGUGCGUAGGUGGCCAUGCAAGUCAGAUGUGAAAUCCCCGGGCUUAACUCGGGUGCUGCAUUUGAAACUGCGUGGCUUGAGUGCAGGAGAGGAAAGCGGAAUUCCUAGUGUAGCGGUGAAAUGCGUAGAUAUUAGGAGGAACACCAGUGGCGA